GAAAGCUGGAAGGGGCAAGGCGAGUUCAGUUCACCAUGGGGCUGUUUGGGAAAACUCAGGAGAAGCCACCCAAAGAGCUAGUCAUUGAAUGGUCAUUGAAGAUAAGAAAGGAAAUGAGAGCUGUUGACAGGCAAAUAAGAGAUAUACAAAGAGAAGAAGAAAAAGUGAAACGAUCUUUGAAAGAUGCUGCCAAGAAAGGCCAGAAGGAUGUCUGUGUAGUUCUGUCUAAGGAGAUGAUAGGGUCCAGAAAGGGUGUGAGCAAGCUGUACGCAUCCAAAGUACACAUGAACUUGGUGUUCAUGGGCAUGAAGAACCAGCUCGUGGUCCUGUGAGUGGCUGGUUCCCUGCAGAAGAGCACAGAGGUGACGAAGGCCAUGCAAAGUCUUAUAAAGAUCCCAGAAAUCCAGGUCACCAUAUGAAAGCUGUCCAAACAGAUGAUAGAGGGAUCAUAGAGGAGGUGUUAGAGGACAUUUUUGAAAGCAUGGAUGAUCAGGAAGAAAUGGAGGAAGAAGCAGAAAUGGAAAUCAACAAAAUUAUGUUUGAAAUUAAGGCAGAAGUCUUGGGCAAAGCACCCAAUAAAGUGACCGAUGCCCUUCUAGAACCUGAACCUCCAGGAGCCAUGGCAGCCUCAGAUGAUGACGAGGAGGAAGAGGCUCUGGAGGCCACGCAGUCCCGGCUGGCCACACUGCGAAGUUAG